UGAGGACUACGGUCGCAAGACUAAAACUCAAAGAAAUUGACGGGGGCCCGCACAAGCGGUGGAGCAUGUGGCUCAAUUCGAUGCAACGCGAAGAACCUUACCUGGGUUUGACAUGCAUCUCUAAGUCGGUGAAAGCCGAUGAGUGUAGCAAUACACAAUUUGCACAGGUGCUGCAUGGCUGUCGUCAGCUCGUGUCGUGAGAUGUUCGGUUAAGUCCGGCAACGAGCGCAACCCUCGUCCUUAGUUGCCAGCGGGUAAUGCCGGGGACUCUAGGGAGACAAACCUCUUUUUAGAGGUGGGAAGGUGGGGACGACGUCAAGUCAGUAUGGCCCUUACACCCAGGGCUGCACACGUGCUACAAUGCCUGGUACAAAUGGAAGCAAUACCGCGAGGUGGAGCAAAUCCCUAAAACCAGGCCCAGUUCAGAUUGGAGUCUGCAACUCGACUCCAUGAAGCCGGAAUCGCUAGUAAAGGUGUAUCAGCAACGGCACCUUGAAUACGUUCCCGGGCCUUGUACACACCGCCCGUCACGUCAUGAAAGCCGGUUUUACCCAAAGUAUGUGCGCCAACCGCAAGGAGGCAGCAUCCUAAGGUAAGGCUGGUGAUUGGGACGAAGUCGUAACAAGGUAACCGUAGGGGAACCUGCGGUUGGAUCACCUCCUUUCUG
rnacentral:rRNA from 1 species